rnacentral:rRNA from 1 species
GACAGAGGGUGCAAACGUUGUUCGGAUUUACUGGGCGUAAAGCGCGUGUAGGCGGCUUCGUAAGUUGGAUGUGAAAUCCCACGGCUCAACCGUGGACGUGCAUCCAAAACUACGUCGCUGGAGUCUCGGAGAGGAAGGUGGAAUGCUUGGUGUAGAGGUGAAAUUCGUAGAUAUCAAGCAGAACACCUGCGGCGAAGGCGGCCUUCUGGACGAUGACUGACGCUGAGGAGCGAAAGCGUGGGUAGCAAACAGG